rnacentral:lncRNA from 1 species
CGCCGCUGUCACACUCGCACACACGCGCGCACGCAGAUGGCAACACCGCGUCCCGGAGCCCCUGCGCAGCCCAUUGGCCGGGCGGCGGCGGUAUGCAAAUGAGGCCGCCGGGGCCGCCCACGCCUCAUUGUUGCGUGGAGACCCGGGGGCCGCGCGGCGGGGUGGCGGGGCCGGCGUGGGGAGCUCCCGGGUGCGGGUCGGGGCAGACCCACGCAGGGCCGCCUGCGGGCGGGGGGCUGCAGCAUGGCCACGCGCGGGGAGGGAGGGCGCGCCUCUCCUGCUUCUGGGACUCGGUGCGAAACCUGCUCCUGCUCGCCCGCAGCACGCCUCCCCCAGGCGCAGUUUGGGUGGGGGUCGGUUUUCAGGCAGGGACGCUCCCCAAGUCCGCCUAGAGGAGAACCGGCAGUUAAUGGGUAAUUUGCUGAUGGAUACAGUGCUCGCUAAGCGCAGGGGUCUCCAAGGAGCUGUGAACCCCGUGCUCCCCACCCCGGAGGAACCACCACGAGUGGGACCCCGCCCCCUCGUUGCUGGUCCAUUUCAUUCCAAUUCUGAGUGUUCCCCUUUGAAGGCCUCUCAAGAUACCCUGCACCAGAGUAAUUGGCUUUCACAUUGGACCAUCACUUGCAGUUUCUAUAUCUGA